rnacentral:lncRNA from 1 species
CCCAAGUCCCCAGGGUGAGAGCUCCUGGGUCUGCACUCCUCUUUGUGGAAAGGUGCUGGUGUACUUCUAGGAAGCUGAGGAUCCUCUGCUGCCCUCUGUCCACAUUCCCUGCAGGGGACAAAUUGCCCACUGCGUAGCUCUGAAACACAGAACCUUCCAUCAAAGUGGGUAAGGCCUGGGAGGGGGCAUGCUAUGGAGUAAAUGAAGCAGCUGACACUGACUGGGGGACCCAGGCUGGGAAUGCAGAUGUGUUGGCAGGAGCUGGCGCAGUCAUUUUGGACCAUAUGAUGAGAGCGGCACAUUGAAAAAGGCAGAGCAGCAUGACUGAAGAGAGCUGGAUACCUAACACCAUUAAGCCACUGCCUCAUCCAUGGACUGCAUUCUUGGAUGUAAAUGUGUGAGGGAUAUCAAAUUUGAUCCUCCUUAAGUCUCUGUAUUUGGGGGUUUCUUUGCCUCAACAAUGGAAUCUAUAUAUUCACUGUUGUCUCUCAGUGGAAGGGCCACCUCUGGUCAUGGAUGCAUCUGGUCACUGGAGAGGCUGGAAUGCCACCCUUUGGUAGCCUAUGACUUUGAUAGUGCCCUAUAGAUGAUCUCUUCCAAGAUUCACACACUGCUGUGCUCUCCGCCCACAGUGACUCUGUUUUGGCCAAUGGGACUCCAGCAAGCACGAUGCAAGCAGUGCCUGGGUAGCACUUUCAACAUGGGGCUUGUCCUCUGGGAACACCGGCUCUUGGGAUGCUCCCGGUCCAAACCCUGCUGCCCAUCUUGAGAAGCCCCACAUGGCCAGAAGGAGAGGCCACAUGGAGGAGGACCGAGGCCCUGCCCUCAGCCCCAGCUGACCUCGCAUCCUCAGCCUGAGUGAAUCCAUCCUGGAAGUGGUCCUCCGGUCUGAGCUGUGCAGCUGAAAUGAGCUGUCCAACCUGCAGACUCAACAUCACAUAACUCCACUGUCCUAAUCCUCUAACUCUUGGGGCAGCUUGUUACGCAGCUCUAGGUAACUGAAACACGUGGAUGGCCCCAGGCCCUUUGCACUGUCUGAAAAGCUCGAAAUCCACCGUGCUUUACACCAAGAGGUCAGUGUCUUUCAAGAUGGUCUGUCUUCCUCACAUCUGGAAACGACACUACACGGGAAGUUGCUGAGUCUCUGGAAAUGCGUAGGAGGGGCUACCCUUCCCUCCAGAACCCCACGCCCCUCCCUCAACUCUGCCAGGGGGUCAGAGCUUGGCUUCAUGCUUGCAUUUGAAGCUCCGGGAAUAGGAUGGGUUCCACAGACCCCCCCCUCCCAACCCCGCUUUCUUGUAAAUCUGCUGAAGCGCCAUGUCCCUUAGAUGAAGGUUAGAGGGCAGCAUUUGUCAGGCAAGGGGCUGCCUGUGUCCACAGUGAACCCCCUGGUGCCCACCUGAGCAUUGAAGGAGCCAAUGCGUGAAUGAACAAGUGAACAAAUUGUGAACAAAAAGUAACUUAUUAGAUCAGAGCGGGAGGUCAAGGUGAUAGAGGGGCUCCUGGGAAGGCAGGAUCAGUAAAGAGCCCAGGUAUAAUGAAAGAUGGCUUUGGAAGUAUUUUUGACUCUUUCAAAACAUAAUUACAGUAGCUCUCAUUGAGUUCUUACUGUGUGCCAGGCACUGUGCAAAAUGCUUUAUGUUAAAUUAUUGCAUUAAUUAUCUCAGCAAGCCCGAGAGGUAAGUGCUAUAACUUUCAUCCCAUUUUAUAGAUGAGGAAAUGGAGGCCCAGAGAGGUUAGGUAACUUGCCUGAGUGGGCCUGGGAAGAUUUGAACUCAGACAGUCUGGCACCAGCACCCAAGGGCAUAGCCACCACACUCUGACAAAAAGCCGGAGUCUUGUAUUCCACCCUUGGAGAGAAGAACCAGGACCUGGCAUGCUUUAUGGCACGUUUGCCAAGCUCCAGUCCACCACGUGCUCCUGGGGGCCUCGGAAAGCCCAGGUCAGAAGGGAAGGAGAAGGGAGGGGCCUCAGGGGUCCCUGUGCCAGGCAGCAGGGCCACUAACACUGGGGUCCAGAGGUGGUGCUGCCCACCCUGCCUGAGCACCCUCAGGGACUGCUCCCACUCACUGCUCAGAAAUGAGCCUGGCUCAUUCACACGUGUCCUUAAUGCCAGGUUCCAAGAAAGCCACCUAAAUACCUGGUAUUUGAGAUGUAAAGAGACCGGCUCCCUGUACUUAGCGCUUCGCUUAACUUUUCCAAUUAUAGCGCCCUAUUUUCCAAAGUCUAAAAAGGACAUAUGUUAUAACUGUCUUGGGCCCCAAGGUUUCAGAAACACCCUUAAGUCUCCUGAAAUACAAUCGUAUAUUUUAGACUAAUUCC